AUGAAGGGCAGGCGGGAACAACAGAUAGAGGUUAUUUUAUCUAAUUCAAAAGUGACAACAUUUCCAACUUUGUUUAAUGAUGUCCAGACAUGGGAAAAUUUGGAAGUUGGAAUACCUUGGCUGAUAGAGAAAAAGAUGAGCUCAAAUGUUGUUCCUCUGUUAUUAAACUCAUUCGGUGCCGACCAGGUAGAAUUGGGACCUAAUGAUGCUAUAGCACUUGCAGAUCGGGCUGCUGGAGUUCAUAAUGAUGGGACUACACCUCGGGAUAGUAGAGUUUGCUUUGUGUAUUCUAGAAAGUGA
rnacentral:rRNA from 1 species